UAACACAUGCAAGUCGCGUGCGCAGUUUCCUGUAGCAAUACAGGGGAUGAGCGCACGGCGCACGGGUGCGUAACACGUGGGCAUCUGCCCUCCGAUGGGAAUAACCCCGCGAAAGCGGGGCUAAUACCGCAUAACAUUCCUUGGACGAUGGUCCGGGGAUUCAAAGCAGUAAUGCGUCGGAGGAGGAGCCCGCGCCCGAUUAGCUAGUUGGUGAGGUAACGGCUCACCAAGGCAAUGAUCGGUAGCUGGUCUGAGAGGAUGAUCAGCCACACUGGAACUGAGACACGGUCCAGACUCCUACGGGAGGCAGCAGUGGGGAAUCUUGCGCAAUGGGCGAAAGCCUGACGCAGCGACGCCGCGUGGGGGAUGAAGCUUCUCGGAGUGUAAACCCCUUUCGACUGGGACGAAUGCCCGCAAGGGAGUGACGGUACCAGUAGAAGAAGCCCCGGCUAACUACGUG
rnacentral:rRNA from 1 species